rnacentral:rRNA from 1 species
AGAGUUUGAUCCUGGCUCAGGACGAACGCUGGCGGCACGCCUAACACAUGCAAGUCGAACGGAGAUGAUUUGAGUUUACUUAGAUCAUCUUAGUGGCGGACGGGUGAGUAACACGUGAGCAACCUGCCUUUGAGAGAGGGAUAGCUUCUGGAAACGGAUGGUAAUACCUCAUAACAUACAGAUACCGCAUGGUGACUGUAUCAAAGAUUUAUCACUCAAAGAUGGGCUCGCGUCUGAUUAGAUAGUUGGUGAGGUAACGGCUCACCAAGUCGACGAUCAGUAGCCGGACUGAGAGGUUGAACGGCCACAUUGGGACUGAGACACGGCCCAGACUCCUACGGGAGGCAGCAGUGGGGAAUAUUGCACAAUGGGGGAAACCCUGAUGCAGCGACGCCGCGUGGAGGAAGAAGGUCUUCGGAUUGUAAACUCCUGUUGUUGAGGAAGAUAAUGACGGUACUCAACAAGGAAGUGACGGCUAACUACGUGCCAGCAGCCGCGGUAAAACGUAGGUCACAAGCGUUGUCCGGAAUUACUGGGUGUAAAGGGAGCGCAGGCGGGCGAUCAAGUUGGAAGUGAAAUCCAUGGGCUCAACCCAUGAACUGCUUUCAAAACUGAUUGUCUUGAGUAGUGCAGAGGUAGGCGGAAUUCCCGGUGUAGCGGUGGAAUGCGUAGAUAUCGGGAGGAACACCAGUGGCGAAGGCGGCCUACUGGGCACCAACUGACGCUGAGGCUCGAAAGUGUGGGUAGCAAACAGGAUUAGAUACCCUGGUAGUCCACACCGUAAACGAUGAUUACUAGGUGUUGGAGGGUUGACCCCUUCAGUGCCGCAGUUAACACAAUAAGUAAUCCACCUGGGGAGUACGACCGCAAGGUUGAAACUCAAAGGAAUUGACGGGGGCCCGCACAAGCAGUGGAGUAUGUGGUUUAAUUCGACGCAACGCGAAGAACCUUACCAAGUCUUGACAUCCUGCGGCGAUGCUAGAAAUAGUAUUUUCCUUCGGGACGCAGAGACAGGUGGUGCAUGGUUGUCGUCAGCUCGUGUCGUGAGAUGUUGGGUUAAGUCCCGCAACGAGCGCAACCCUUAUGGUCAGUUACUACGCAAGAGGACUCUGGCCAGACUGCCGUUGACAAAACGGAGGAAGGUGGGGAUGACGUCAAAUCAUCAUGCCCUUUAUGACUUGGGCUACACACGUACUACAAUGGCGUUAAACAAAGAGAAGCAAGACCGCGAGGUGGAGCAAAACUCAGAAACAACGUCCCAGUUCGGACUGCAGGCUGCAACUCGCCUGCACGAAGUCGGAAUUGCUAGUAAUCGCAGAUCAGCAUGCUGCGGUGAAUACGUUCCCGGGCCUUGUACACACCGCCCGUCACACCAUGAGAGCCGGGGGGACCCGAAGUCGGUAGUCUAACCGCAAGGAGGACGCCGCCGAAGGUAAAACUGGUGAUUGGGGUGAAGUCGUAACAAGGUA